rnacentral:rRNA from 1 species
UACGGAGGGUGCAAGCGUUAUCCGGAUUCACUGGGUUUAAAGGGUGCGUAGGAGGACUGGUAAGUCAGUGGUGAAAUCCCCGAGCUUAACUUGGGAACUGCCGUUGAUACUAUCAGUCUUGAAUACCGUGGAGGUGAGCGGAAUAUGUCAUGUAGCGGUGAAAUGCAUAGAUAUGUCACAGAACACCAAUUGCGAAGGCAGCUUACUAAAGUAGCAUUGACGCUGAGGCACGAAAGCGUGGGGAUCAAACAGG